AGUAUAUUACUACGCAGUAUUAUAACACAGUAUGGAAUAAAAUACAAUGUAUAUUUUAAUAUUACGAAAUAUAUAUAUAUAUAAAUCAUUUUAAGAAUAGUGAAUAAAUAAAAAGACAGUAUAUAAUGGAAGUACAUAAGGGAUAUAGAAGUUGGUAUGAUUGACUUAUUUGACUAACUACAAUAUGUUUUCGGGCUUUAUUUCUGAUGAAAGGUUGCAUUACAUUAAAGGUAACGAUGCGUGUAGUAAGUUUGAUAAUUUGAACUGAGGAACUCUGUUCUUAGCUGUUAGCGAAUUGAGCCUCACUUUGGAUGAAUCUUUACCAAUAUUCAUUUUUUAACAUCCUUGCAAUCAAUUUUCAUCCUUAGCUAUCUUUGAGGGUGGUAUAUCGCUUUUUCGAAUGCAUUAUCAUAUAUCAAAAAUCACUUAAAAUAAUAAUAGAGCUUUGAAGCACUAAUGGCCUUUUUUUAAUAUUGGACUAUUUUGUGAACUUUGUCAUGAAUUACUAUUCUAUAUGGAUGAUCACUACCUUCGCAACCUCUGAAGCUCCCUUCUACGUUAGUUAUUCAAAGGAUAUUGUUUACUAUUGUUGUGAUACUUAGGACUUUUAAUAAUACCCUUAAUUACAGGUGUGUGUCUCGUAAAAAGUAAAGAAAUCAGUUCUAUAACAGCAGCAAGUCUUCAGAAGUACUGAUUUCUUCCCCAAAUAAAGAGGCGGAUAAGUAUCUACAUCAUUGUUGUAAUAUGGGAUCCAAGAUAUCAAAUUUUACUCCGAAACAGCAAAUGCAUUUCCCUAUAGUGGUGAAUGAUAUCCCAUUACUUAGGGAAGGACUUUAAUGAAAGGAAGACGAAAAAUACCAAACUGAUUCGUCAUUAAAUUGGAUUGGCCAUUCUGACCACAAAAUUAUCAAGGAGGGAUAUAAUAAUAUAUGUACCUUUAUAAAUUUCAGGAUCAUUAGUACACGAGUUUUGCUAAUUUACAUACUACAACGUCAACUUAUAUGAUUAUAUCUAUAAUACCUUUAUAAAUGAUCAAACACGUUAAUGCUUUGAGGAAGAGUUAUCAGCAUAAACGUGCAGAGAUAUAUCAUAUUUUAUUCAUAAAUAUAGUUAUAGGGAUUUCCCAGUGGGCCGGCAGGAUGGUUUCCUGCACCAAAUAUGAAAUAGGCAUGUCCAUGACUUCUCCUGAAUGCUGAAGGCUAUCAAAUUAUGAUUUAGUGUUACUUAAAUUUCCAUCUAAAAUAAUUGUUUGCUCGAACUUCAUAUAUUUAUUAAGAAACUUACAAUGACUUUGUUUCAUCAAUAUGUCAAGAAAUUUAGAUGUCUAUUCAGAAUCCAACUACUGUGAAAUCUGGGUACCUACAAUAAACGAUUGGAACAACGGAAAAGAGUCUAAUUAAAAGAAGUGUAUUGCCAUUUUAAAAACGUUCAUAUUAUAUUAAUUUAACUUUAAGCCUACUAUUUAUAUAGUUUGUUCUAAAUAGUUUCUAAUUCUUUGAUUUUAAACCGCAAAACCUAACCAAGUAAGGAUAUUUGUUUUUUAAUAAAGUGAUGAUUAUUUUUUAUAAUACAAUUUUAAAAAGCUGAAAUAUAUAGAUGAAAUUUCAUGUUGCUUGUGUUUAGUAAUCGUAUAAUAUAGAUUUUUUAAAUUA
rnacentral:lncRNA from 1 species